UACGGAGGGAGCUAGCGUUGUUCGGAAUUACUGGGCGUAAAGCGCACGUAGGCGGCUUUGUAAGUUAGAGGUGAAAGCCCGGGGCUCAACUCCGGAACUGCCUUUAAGACUGCAUCGCUUGAAUCCGGGAGAGGUGAGUGGAAUUCCGAGUGUAGAGGUGAAAUUCGUAGAUAUUCGGAAGAACACCAGUGGCGAAGGCGGCUCACUGGACUGGUAUUGACGCUGAUGUGCGAAAGCGUGGGGAGCAAACAGG
rnacentral:rRNA from 1 species